AUAUAAUAAACUUGUGAGGUCUAGAAAUUAGAAGUAUAAAUUGUUACCUCUAUGCCUAGUUAAAAGGGAAGCCGGUGUAAUUCCGGUACGGUCCCGCCACUGUGAAACAGGGAUAUUCUCAAUGUACCACUGUUCUGCGUCAAGCAGGAUGGGAAGGUGAGGAUAUUAGCUAACCUGUUAGUCAGGAGACCUGCCUUACGAGAAGUACGACG
rfam:Paenibacillus antarcticus strain CECT 5836 PBAT01, whole genome shotgun sequence.